GGAUGCGAUCAUACCAGCACUAAAGCACCGGAUCCCAUCAGAACUCCGAAGUUAAGCGUGCUUGGGCGAGAGUAGUACUAGGAUGGGUGACCUCCUAGGAAGUCCUAGUGUUGCAUUCC
rnacentral:rRNA from 2 species